AUACCCUCGGGAAACUGAGGAUAAAUCCUGAUAGAAGAUGAUUUUUGGAAUAAUUUAUCUUUGAAACUCGCGCUUAAGGACGGGGCUGCGGCUGAUUAGGUUGUUGGCGGGGUAAUAGCCCACCAAGCCUUUGAUCAGUAAGGGCCCUUAGCGGGGAAGCCCUGAGAGGGAGUCUGAGACACUACUCCCAGCCUUACGGGGUGCAGCAGUUAAGUAAAUUUUGCAAUGCGCGCAAGCGUGACAGAGCAAGUCAGAGUGUCUUUCAAUUUUUGAAAGACUUUUGUCAGCUGUAAAAAGGCUGGCGAAUAAGGACUGGGCAAGACCGGUGCCAGCCGCCGCGGUAAUACCGGCGGUCCAAGUCGCAGCCACAUCUAUUGGGCCUAAAACAUUCGUAGCUUGCUCCAUAAGUUCUUUGUGAAAUUCUAUCUCUUAAGGGUAGAGCGUGCGAAGAAUACUGUGGUGCUAGAGACUGGAGGAUGUAAGAAGUACAGUCGAGGUAGUGGUAAAAUACGUUAAUCUUGACUGGACUAACAACAGCGAAGGCAUCUUACAACGACAGAUCUGACAGUGAGGGAUGAAGGCUAGGGUCGCAAAAUGGAUUAGAUACCCAUGUAGUCCUAGCAGUCGCGCUGCGCACUAAACAUUAGUGCCUCCUCGAGAGGUAUUGGUGCUGUAGAGAAGUCGAAGAGUGAGCUACCUGGGAAGU
rnacentral:rRNA from 1 species